rnacentral:lncRNA from 10 species
CUUCCUCCUUCCUUUGUUAUCCUCUGCCUUUGCCUCUUUUGAAAAGUUCUAAGUUGCUAGCCGAUCAGGACAAAUACAGAAUGUGAGGUCCCCUUCCAGACAACAGACACCGGACACAGCAGUAGCGUGGACGCCACUGGGGAAGAAGCAUUUCUAACAGGAGCCUGCAUGCUGAGGAUGGCAGAGGAAAAAGACAGAGCCAUACUGAGCCCUUGGAGAUGCCACUGAGGAGCUACGCUAACCAAUCCUGGAGGCACCAUAACCUAGGACUUCUUCUUAUACAAGGAUGCUAGAGAGCAGUCUUCAGCCUGAGACCCAUCUCUAGAGUCUUAAUACCUUUAUUUUAUGCUAUUGACAGCUUCUAACAACUCAGUAUACUCCUAUGAACAAAAUUUGGAGCAUAUUUGUUUCUCUCUACCUGAUUUCUUCAGACUGUGGAAACUAUUUGAAUCAAACUUGACUUAUGGAUCCAAUAAAGCCCUUGGAAAAACUGGCCUCAUAUUUUGUGUAAACAGUCCCCGUACAGGGUUUCUGACUUGUGGACAUGAGACUUCACAGCCUGCUAAAAAUAAGCUUUUGGGACCUACCCAUUUAGGAAUAAACAGUCCUAGCCUUGAGAGAUCAGAUGAAAUCUGAGGCCAGAGACUCAUUUUCUUCUAAAAUGCUUUCUCCAAAAGAUUUUUAAAUAGAAAAGAGGGGAAAUGUGAAAGGAAAAUGUCUUCAGCCCCUUCAAGCUGGGAACUCUCAGUACAAAUCUGUCUCUCAUUCUAUUCAAAGUCAUUUCUCUGCUCAGAGAUAGAUGCAUAUUCUGAUUGCCUUCUUUGGAAAGACUUACCAGAAACUCAAAAGAAUGCAACCAUCUGUCUCUCACCUACCUGUGACCUGGAAGCCCAUAGGGUAAAGGGGGCUUGCUUUGAGUUGUCUCUACUUUUCUGAAUGGAAUGAAUGUACUUCUUACAUUUAUUGAUUGAUGUCUCAUGUUUCCCUAAAAUGUAUAAAACCAAUCUGUGCCCCGGCCACCCUGGGCAUGUGUUGUCAGGACUUCCUAAGGCUAUGUCACAGGUGCAUCCUCAACUUUGGCAAAUAAACUUUCUAAAUUAACUGAGACCUCUCUCAGAUUUUCUGGGUUCACUAUUCCUACUUGGAAAAUUGUCGAUAU